UACGAAGGCGAACUUUUAAUACGGCCCCAUAUACAAGAGUGGAAGAGAGCAAUGGACAGGAAAUCAAGAGGUCUGCGCCAUUAAAGGAGUGCCAUUACGAAGGCGAACUUUUAAUACGGCCCCAUAUACAAGAGUGGAAGAGAGCAAUGGACAGGAAAUCAAGAGGUCUGCGUCAUUAAAGGAGUGCCAUUACGAAGGCGAACUCCCGCGGCCGUCCGUCAGUCCGUCCAGCCAACGGUCUCGAUCUUGAUCUUGAUGUCACAGGUGGCUCGGAAUUUCUACCCAGCCAGCCUUUGUCACUGCACCUGUACAGCAAGAGCAAGAGCAAGAGCCUUCAAAGCUGCGUCCCGGGAGGAGGAGGCGCCGUGGCCGUGGCCGCCCCAACACUGCCCUCACGUGUACACAGACCUUCCCGCAGCCACCGACAGGACCUGGCCCCUUCUCUGGUGCCACAGCGACAGACUGACAGCACCCACCGGCACUAACACAGACGAGGCGGCGGCCUGGCACACCCUGGAGGAGGCGACGAAGGCUGUGUGGAGAGGCAAGGAAGGGAAAGGCCAGACUGAUGGUGGUCCUGCGCCUCUUCCCCUUUCGGAGCUGGACAGCCUGCUAGCCGACACAUUGGGGAGCCUGAACAUUGUGCUAGUCGGCUGCCUUGAGAGGAUGGAGCCGAUCAUCACCAUUGAGCCAUCUGCUGCUCCCCAACUCAAGCAGUGAAGAUGAAAGAUAUGUUUUUGCAUCACUGGAGGUCCCGUUCAGUCCGGACGCACUUCAUCAGUCAUGGAUUCAUCGAGUGACAAGGAUUACUUUCCUGAUGUAGAAGAUUACGACAACAAGGAUCUUUCAGACGAGAUGGAGGAUGAUGAAGAGGAUGACAGUCUUCCAAUACCCCUGUCACAGAGCUCACUUGAAGAGCCAAGCAUCUCUGUGAUAGAAGGAAUAGGUUUGUGUGAUGGAUUUGAGCAUACUGCUGUUGGAACAGACAUUGGCAAUGACUUGGCUCGCCACAGUAAACAGGUGACUGAAACUGACCUUGCUGAAGCAAUCAGUAAACACCACAUUAGUAAUGCAGUGAAUGAGUCGCCUCUUACAACUUCAUCUCCAUCACCCAUCCUGACCAGUCCAGCAUCUUCUAGUCCAUUCCUGCCAUCAUCACAAGCCCAAGGUUACGAGUGGUCUCAGCGUGCCAUGAAGAGGCGAUGAACAGAGGCAUAUGAUGCAGCACUGGACGCUGUAUUACAGAUGGCUACACAGCCAGCACCAACCCCUUCAUUCUCCAAGAGCGUUUCAGCAGUGGUAGAAGAGACAAUAAAUGUAGUUCCUCCACAGCUGCAGGUAGAA